rnacentral:rRNA from 1 species
CCCUUAGAUGUUCUGGGCAGCACGCGCGCUACAAUGGUCUUCGCAAACGGAUGCAUUCUCGAAGGAGAAUGCCAAUCUUGGAAUCUAUGCCUUGGUCGGGACAGUUGCUUGCAAUUUUUCGACUCGAACCAGGAAUUCCUUGUAAUCGUGAUUCAUCACAUCACGAUGAAUACGUCCCUGCCCUUUGUACACACCGCCCGUCGCUCCUACCGAUCGAAGAGUUAGGUGAAUUGUUUUGAUCGAUAUGAUUUGACUAUGGUCAACUCUCGUUGUGAAAUUCUGUGAAUCUGACUGUUUAGAGGAAGGAAAAGUCGUAACA